rnacentral:rRNA from 1 species
UCGGACUACGUCGUUGCGGCGCACUCCCUACUUCCGGAAGCCCAACAUUUGGAGAAAGGAGGCCCUGCUAAUACUGCCCUGGGACCCUUCUUUGGGGCCCAUUG